ensembl:snRNA U6 U6 spliceosomal RNA
GUGCUCCCUUCAGCAGCACAUAUAUUAAAAUUGGAAGGAUACAGAGAAGAUUACCAUGGCCCCUGUGCAAGGAGGACAUGCAAAUU